rnacentral:ncRNA from 1 species
AUUUGCAGAGGAUGCUUUGGGUGCGGCCCCCGUCUAAGUGCCCUGGAACGGGCCGUCAGAGAGGGUGAGAAUCCCGUCUUGGGCGGGGUGUCCGUGCCCGUGUAAAGCUCCUUCGACGAGUCGAGUUGUUUGGGAAUGCAGCUCUAAAUGGGUGGUAAAUUUCAUCUAAAGCUAAAUACUGGCCGGAGACCGAUAGCGCACAAGUAGAGUGAUCGAAAGAUGAAAAGCACUUUGAAAAGAGAGUUAAACAGCACGUGAAAUUGUUGAAAGGGAAGCGCUUGCAACCAGACUCGCCCGCGGGGUUCAGCCGGCAUUCGUGCCGGUGUACUUCCCCGUGGGCGGGCCAGCGUCGGUUUGGGCGGCCGGUCAAAGGCCCCUGGAAUGUAGUGCCCUCCGGGGCACCUUAUAGCCAGGGGUGCAAUGCGGCCAGCCUAGACCGAGGAACGCGCUUCGGCUCGGACGCUGGCAUAAUGGUUGUAAACGACCCCGUCUUGAAACACGGACCAAGGAGUCUAACAUCUACGCGAGUGUUCGGGUGUCAAACCCGUGCGCGCAGUGAAAGCGAACGGAGGUGGGAGCCCCCUCGUGGGGCGCACCCAUCGACCGAUCCUGAUGUCUUCGGAUGGAUUUGAGUAAGAGCGUAAAUGUGGGGACCCGAAAGAUGGUGAACUAUGCCUGAAUAGGGCGAAGCCAGAGGAAACUCUGGGUGGGAGGCUCGCAGCGGUUCUGACG